CACGUCAGAUUCUCAUUUUUUAUUCAACAGAAUUUGAUUCACAACUUCACCGGCGAUUUUGCCUUUUCCGGCGAUUCUCCAUUGUGCACAUUCCCGAAAAAGAUGUGGCGUAGAUCAGCUUCUUUCAUUCUCGACAAAAACCAAAACGACGUCUCUGGAAGUCACCAUCUUUCUCCUCUUUCAGUCGCCGAUUCAUCAUCUAUGGCUGAAACCCUACUACAACAGGAGCAGCAGCAGCAACAGCAACAG
rnacentral:misc_RNA from 1 species